rnacentral:lncRNA from 1 species
AGAAAUCCUCCAGCCCUGUUAGAAAUGCCUCAGCCAGGGGGACUCAUCUCCUCAAACCUGGGGGACCGAGACCUAUGAGAGGUCACAGCAUGAGGUGACGGAAGUGCCAUGUGCACAGGGUUGAUUUGGUGGCUCUAAUUCUUAUAACAUAAAAGCUUGCUUCUUAGCAUAGUUCUUGCAGUGUUAAUUUUAGAGACACAUAACGGAGAGGAGUAGGGAAAUAAAGACCUGUCUGGUCCUUCCCCACUUCCCUAAUCCAUCUGUCUCCCUUGCUAUGUCUCUAAACCUUCUCCAGCCAGGACAUCGGAGGUACCCAGACAUUGUUAUGAAACUCCGCAUGUGCCCCUGGUGGACGCUGCUGGACCCAGCAUGCACACUUCUCGGCUAAGAGUCACCCUGGAUGAACCACCAUUGCCAGCGGGGAGCAUGUUGCAGCUUUCCCACGCAGUGGAUGAGAACGAAGGUUACGACCAUUGUGUGGGAGGCGUCUGUGUAGCAAUUGCUGGAAUCACUUGUGGCAUUGUAGAAAGACUGAGCGUGGGAAAGAAGACGCAUUCUGAAGUCACCCCGAUUUAUGUUAAAUUAUCACCUUGACUACUGCUAUAGAACGAAUGUUUAUGUCCCCCACCCAAAUUCGUAUGCUAAGACCUAAUAGCCAAUAAGAUAGUAUUAAUAGAUGGGGCCUUUGGGAGGUGAGUGGCUCAUGAGGGCAGAGUCCUCAAAACCAGAUAAGUGCCCGAAUAAAAGGGGCCCCAGAGAGAUCCCUUGCACCGUCUACCAUGUGAAGUGUAGAACACAGCGAGAAGGCCACCUAUGAGCCAGAACGUGGGCCCUCACCAGAACCCAGUUGUGCUGGCACCCUGAUCCUGGACUUCCAGCCUCCAAAAUGACGACAAAGAAGUUUGUUUUUCCUGAGCCAUCCACUUCAAAGUAUUCUGUCAUAGCUCCCCAAAUAGACU